rnacentral:tRNA from 2 species
GGUGGCGUAACUCAGUUGGUAGAGUAACCGGCUCAUAUCCGGUCUGUCAGGGGUUCAAGUCCCUUCGCCACUA